GCCGGCAAAGCAUCGCGGGCUCUAAGCAUAACUCCCUUUACCAUUUCUGGCAAAGGUUCACAUUUAUCCCACAAACACCGGAGUACAAAGGGACAGUAUGAAUAAUAAAAUUAGCAUAUAUUGGAAGCACAUGCAGAACAAUGAAAUGUACAUAUGCCUUUCGAGUCAAUACGAUACAAACAUAAUCUUUCACAAUGUAUUCAGAUUUGAAA
rnacentral:lncRNA from 1 species